rnacentral:rRNA from 1 species
AGUCGAGGGGCAGCGCGGGAUAGCAAUAUCCUGGCGGCGACCGGCGGAAGGGUGCGUAACGCGUGAGCGACAUGCCCGUUGCCCGGGGACAACCGGUGGAAACGCCGACUAAUCCCCGAUGGGAUAUUGUGCCGCAUGGCACGAUAUUGAAAGUUACGGCGGCGACGGAUUGGCUCGCGUCCGAUUAGCUUGUUGGCGGGGUAACGGCCCACCAAGGCUACGAUCGGUAGGGGUUCUGAGAGGAAGGCCCCCCACAAUGGGACUGAGACACGGCCCAUACUCCUACGGGAGGCAGCAGUGAGGAAUAUUGGUCAAUGGGCGGAAGCCUGAACCAGCCAUGCCGCGUGCGGGAAGGAGGCCCUAUGGGCUGUGAACCGCUUUUGCCUGGGGGCAAUAAGGGCGUCGCGCACGCCCGAUGAGAGUACCAGGCGAAUAAGCAUCGGCUAACUCCGUGCCAGCAGCCGCGGUAAUACGGGGGAUGCGAGCGUUAUCCGGAUUCAUUGGGUUUAGAGGGUGCGUAGGCUGUGCGUCAAGUCGGGGGUGAAAUUCCGGUGCUCAACACCGGGGCUGCCCUUGAUACUGUCGCGCUGGAGUGCGGAUGCCGCCGGAG